rnacentral:rRNA from 1 species
AGAGUUUGAUCCUGGCUCAGAACGAACGCUGGCGGCGCGUCUUAAGCAUGCAAGUCGAACGGCAAGAGAGGAGCUUGCUUCUCUCCUAGAGUGGCGGACUGGUGAGGAACACGUGGGUAAUCUACCCUUAAGAUGGGGAUAGCUGCUAGAAAUAGCAGGUAAUACCGAAUACACUCGAAGUUUCAUAAGAAGCUUUGAGGAAAGGAAGCUACGGCUUCGCUUGAGGAUGAGCUUGCGUCCCAUUAGCUCGUUGGUGAGGUAACGGCCCACCAAGGCGACGAUGGGUAUCCGGCCUGAGAGGGUGAUCGGCCACAUUGGGACUGAGAUACGGCCCAAACUCCUACGGGAGGCAGCAGCUAAGAAUAUUCCGCAAUGGACGGAAGUCUGACGGAGCGACGCCGCGUGGAUGAAGAAGGCUGAAAAGUUGUAAAAUCCUUUUGUUGAUGAAGAAUAAGGGUGAGAGGGAAUGCUCAUCUGAUGACGGUAAUCGGCGAAUAAGCCCCGGCUAAUUACGUGCCAGCAGCCGCGGUAACACGUAAGGGGCGAGCGUUGUUCGGAAUUAUUGGGCGUAAAGGGCAUGUAGGCGGUUAUGUAAGCCUGAUGUGAAAUCCUGGGGCUUAACCCUAGAAUAGCAUUGGGUACUGUGUAACUUGAAUUACGGAAGGGAAACUGGAAUUCCAAGUGUAGGGGUGGAAUCUGUAGAUAUUUGGAAGAACACCGGUGGCGAAGGCGGGUUUCUGGCCGAUAAUUGACGCUGAGAUGCGAAAGUGUGGGGAUCGAACAGGAUUAGAUACCCUGGUAGUCCACACCGUAAACGAUGUACACUAGGUGUUGGGGCAAGAGCUUCAGUGCCAAAGCAAACGCGAUAAGUGUACCGCCUGGGGAGUAUGCCCGCAAGGGUGAAACUCAAAGGAAUUGACGGGGGCCCGCACAAGCGGUGGAGCAUGU